rnacentral:rRNA from 1 species
AUGAUCGACGGCGACGAACCACCGCGCCGGCCAGUGUCUUUCCCCUGCCCCUCUGCUCCGCGCCAGAUCCUUCCCUUUCCCCUUCUUUCUUCCGCGCCCACCGACGUGCUACCGCGCCGCGGGAGCAGUUUCCUCCUCUCAUCGCUCGCUCUGUCUCGCGGCGGAUCGACUUCUGUGCCGGCGAGCCGGCGACGGCGUCGGACGCGACCGCGCCGUGCCACUCUUUCCCCUUCCCCUUUCUUUUCUCCAGUCCGCCGAGCCACGAAGAGUGAGAGAGCGCGAGCCGAGCCCACCUCUGCUCCCCCUUGGACGACGACGGCGGAGCAUGCGCCGUUGCCUUCCCCUUCGCCGGCCGCGCGUUCGCCUCGCGGUGAGCGCGUUGCCGUCGAACGGGUUGGCCGCGGUGCUCUUUGCCCCUUUCGGGGUAGGUUCUUCGUCCGACGCCUCGGCUUGCCGAUGCGCGGCCGGAUCGAGAGGAACAGGUGCGGCCAUGACGGCGGCGCUCUUUGCCGGCGGGCCCAAGGCCCUCUCCGGUGA